UUAUUUCCAAACGAUUUGUGAUUUUUCUCUCAUUAAUUAGAUGAUUACUAUUAAUUGCUGGUGAACGUUGGUUAAUCUAGUAAUUAAGAUGACAAGUGAGAUUAGGAAGAGGUUAUUGUUACCUCUUUUCUUUUACCAGGUGAACAGAAGAUGAGUGAAUGAAUGAGAGAGGUUAAAGGUCAAGCCUUUUUCUCUUCUCGCUUUCAAAAAUUCUUUUGAUUUUGUUCCAACAACAGCAGCGGAAAAUGGAGUAGCUUUUUUUGCCUGUUAUUGAAUUUUUUCCGUUUAUUAUGUUACUUUUUUUUCUUUAAUUGCUGUUGAAAACUGGACUCUCAUUGGUGGUGGUCCAGAGUAUUUAAGAUGCGAAAGGAAAAUCAUCUUUUUUAUCAUCAUCAUCUGUGUUAUUGGGUGGAGAGGAGGAAGGCGAUUCAAGAAGCUUCAAUUGGUGAAAGGAAAAGCUUGAUGAUUAAGAUGAAGGAGGAGGAGGUGAUGGCGAUGGAGGAUGUUAGAGGUGUUCACUCUCUCUCUCUCUCUCUCAUCAUCCUUUGUUAUUCCUCCAACACCAAGAAUGUUACCAAUGGAUUGUGCUUUUUUCCCUCCCUUUUACUUAUUAGCCUUUAGCCUUAUUUUCGGGUUUGUUUUCAGGCUUGUUGCUUGUUGUUGACCAUAAAUCUAAUCAUAUUAAAGAUUCAAUUUGCCGACUGAAUUGUUAAUCAACAAUUGAAAGGGUCUAAAGUAAACCAAAUUUUUCCCUUUCAUUGUUGUUGAAACAACAAUCAGCAUCUUCAUUAUUAAUGAACAAUAACAACAAGCAACAAGCAACAUCGUUUUUGUUUACAACUCAACAUUAUUAAUGCAUUAACCCGAUAAUAAUAAUAAUCAUAUAUGGUCAAGUAUUUUUGCUUUAAACGCUAUCAUUAUGAUCACUUGUUUAAACACAGAAUUAACAAUUGAUCAUUAUUACUAUUUAUCUUUUCCAGAUUUCCUGAUUGGAAGCAAAGAAUAAGAAUUAGAAGAAAAUUCUAUCAACAUGGUCCAUUCCAAGUUAAUAAUUCAACAUGAUUGCCGGAUAAUCAGGAUAAAAGAAACAUUCUAUUCCGUUACCUGUUGGGAUUAAAUGUGAAUUGUGUCUGUUUAAUUAUGCAUCGCCAGUUAGUUUAAUGAUUACGAAUAACAAACAACAACAUUUAAAGAGAGAGAGAGAGAAACGGAAAAGUGUUCAGAUGAGAAAAGAGAAUAGAAAAAAUGAGUUUUUUUUAUCUUUUCUAUUCUCUCCUUUUUUUUUAAUUCUCUUUCUCUUUUACCUGUUUAUCUGUCGGUGAACUUUCCACCACCACUAACACCAAGUUCACUGGGAACAUCUAUCACUACACCAAAGUACUUUUAAUGAUAAAUCUCAUUUGUCUUGAACACAAUUAACUGUCUUCAUUUGGGAUAGACAACCUUACACAUAAUUCAUCAAUCACACAAAUUCAUCAUUUCUUCCACCACCAUAAUGAUAAUCAACUAAUCCGGUUCUCUUUUUUUUUUGUUCUUAUGAACUUCUUUUAACCUGGUUAACUCUCAUCUUCGUUACUUCGUCGUGCACUUUGAGUGCCAAAAGCAAGAGGAAAACAAAACGCCAUUAACACCAUCAUUGGAAAGUCAUUGAUUCUAAUGAAUACCUUUAAUGUUACCUUUUUUUUCAGGUAUAUUUAUCCAUCAACUCAUUAUUGAUAUAUGAGAUGAUGAUGGUGGUGGUCAUCUUCAGGUAACCAUAACCAUCUUAGUUUUUUUUCUUCUUGCCUUUCGUCAUCUAACACCAAUGAUGAUGGUGAUGAUAUUUUACUGUAUAAGUUGAAUUCCCGCCAAAAAAAAGUAAAGUUUAAAUGGUAACGAUAAAGAUAAUGAUGACGAUGAUGAUAAGGAUGAUGAUAACCACGUGAUGCGUUUGGUAUUUCAACGAUUUCCAGUUUAUCCACGAGGGAGUAAUAGUAUUUAUUACAAACUCUAUGACUGUUUAUAUGAUCUUAUUACCACUAUUGACGCUGUGUGAUUAUUAUCCCAACAUCAUCUUUGUCAUCAAAUGACAAAUAUUUCUACGGAAGUGGAUUAGGAUGAAGAUGACGAUGGAAAAGCCCAAACCAGUCAACAAGAAGAUGAAAAAUAAAGACAAAGAAAGUGAUAAACAUGAAGAGAGAAAAAGUAACAAAAGUGUGAGAAUUUUCCUCUCUCAUAUAUCACCACCAACAUAGAGAAAGCUAAUCAAGGGAAUCAAAAAAAGAAAUGGUAAUUAUCCUAAUAUCUAUUAAAUAGAUUAUAAUUAACCUCAAAACUGACCAUUUACUGGUCAUUAGAAUUGAGAGAGAAAAAUGAUUGAAACUUGUUGAUCCAAAUGGAGAAAUUUAAAAUGAUUCAUCAGUUUUUCUCUCAUCAUCAUAAUCUAAUCCACUUUCUCACCAUCAUGAGUUAAUCAACAGAAAAUUAAAUCAUCCCUCCCAUCGGUUAAUAUCUAACAACCGUAAUCAUUUGGAUGAUGGCUGAUAAUCCACAAGAUGAUGAGUAAUCGAGAAGAUUGUUGAUCCAUUUGGCGACAAUAUUUAUGUCUACUAAUUUUUAUCUUUUUCUCUUUUUAAUUAUCUUUUCUUCUUUGAUUAGUCGCCAUUUUGGCUUUUUUUCUCAUCAUUUUCUCCGAGUUUUUUUUCCCUCGCAUUUAUGGAAAAGUAAUACAUCAAACAUGAUAAUCAUCAUUAUCAUCAUUUAAUUGGAAAUGUCAAUAGAUCACCAGCAAUCAAAAACCUAAAUGGAGCCUCAUCUUUGUUUUAUUUUUCUUCAAUCAAAUUCUGAAUUUCCCCUGAUAUUCAAGGACAAUCAUCAUUACCAUUCUUCUCAUUAUCGUCAUCAUCAAAAAACCAAAAGUUAACCAGAAAAAAAGAGCAAAUAAUCAAAUCAUCAACUCUCUCUCUCUCUCUCUCACUUGGAUAAUGUUCAUUCGGAAUGUUUGUUGGCUCGUACACAUAUUAACCUUUUUCUUCCUCAUCCUUUAUCUUUUUUCAUCAUUUAUUCCAUGGUGAUGAAUGAAGAUGAUCUCAGCUUUUUUCUUUCUUUCAAAGAUUAUACGUUUUCAGGUUAGAACUUUUUUCAAUUUUCUCCCUCUCACUUUGUUUUGCUUCCAAUUCCAAGGAAAUAUAACAUAUAAACCGAGAGAGAGAGAAAGAGAAAAAG